rnacentral:rRNA from 1 species
AUUGAACGCUGGCGGCAUGCCUUACACAUGCAAGUCGAACGGCAGCACGGGAGCAAUCCUGGUGGCGAGUGGCGAACGGGUGAGUAAUAUAUCGGAACGUGCCCAGUCGUGGGGGAUAACGCAGCGAAAGCUGUGCUAAUACCGCAUACGAUCUAAGGAUGAAAGCGGGGGAUCGCAAGACCUCGCGCGAUUGGAGCGGCCGAUAUCAGAUUAGCUAGUUGGUGGGGUAAAGGCCCACCAAGGCGACGAUCUGUAGCUGGUCUGAGAGGACGACCAGCCACACUGGAACUGAGACACGGUCCAGACUCCUACGGGAGGCAGCAGUGGGGAAUUUUGGACAAUGGGCGCAAGCCUGAUCCAGCAAUGCCGCGUGCAGGACGAAGGCCUUCGGGUUGUAAACUGCUUUUGUACGGAACGAAACGGCCCUUUCUAAUACGGGGGGCUAAUGACGGUACCGUAAGAAUAAGCACCGGCUAACUACGUGCCAGCCGCCGCGGUAACAC